GAAAUCAUGGCCUUCAGAGUGUGACCUUGAAACAAACAUCCGUUGCUUCCAACAUCCAGUUUCCUGUUGAACGUCACACUCUGGUGUUACUCAUCUGGGAUUGGUACGAGGAAUCCCGUCAGGGUUCGUGUUUUUUGCAAGGACUGCUGGACCGACAACCACCAAACAGCUUCAAACACAAUGUUGUUGCAGUUCUGUGAAACAGGGCAGAGGAACGGAGAUAGGCGAUCGACCUCCCAGGAGCGACCCAGGACACACACACACAUGGAUAUGAGACACAGCAUCCUGAUUCAUUCAGCCACAAAGGACUGCUGUGUAAGCGGCCACCAUCAUUUUGCCAUGUGGACUGCUUUGUGGGCAGCCACUAUCGCUACACGCUACCAAGGAUUGACAUGUCGGCAGUCGAUGCUGCAAGGAUUUGUACUCUUUUGUUUUGGCCAGUUCAAAUGGACUGUGGGAUGGCGCCUGGCCUGCCAUGUUCAGGAAGGCCACCUUCAGCAGCCUGGAUAUUUGUGGUGCAAAUGGGGAACGAAAGAUGCAACGUCCAUGUUAAGUGUGGAACUCCAUGGCAUGGCUGGUACCAAGGAGGAAUGAAAACUCCAAAACAACAGCAAGCUCACAAGGCAAAAGACCACAUGAAGGAUCAUGUGGACCAAUGGACUUGCCGCAUUCAGAGAAAGAGGCGGGUCUUUGACCUUUGCUCCCAGCAGUCAUGCCAGAAGAGAAUGUGGGCUCAGACUCUGCCCAAUCAUCCCACCCCAGAAGACCACCCUGUUCCCCCUUGGGGGGCAUAAAAGUGAUGUGAAUGCCUUCAUUUCGCAUGUACAGUAGGCUUUGUGUUGGCUCUUUGGAGCAUCAAGUGCAAUGCAGGCUUUUUCAAUCAAGGAACAGAACGGGAGAGAGCUGCUUCAGGGAGCUUUCGCUAUCUGGGCAUUUCUUGCAUUGAGGAGGAUGGUGACACAGGGCAGAGAGAAGCACUGGAGCGAGCUUGGUGAGCAGUUCAGUCCAGUCCAGUUCAACUGAUCCUGUUUAAAAAGCACAGUAUUAAGAGGAGGCCAGUCCGGUAUUUCUCCAUGACCCUUUCCCAUAGUGACAGGGCAACGCAAACUCCUCAGCUUGCAUGGCUAAGAAAGAGGCUGCCAAACCCUCAAACGAUUCUCAACACUCCUUACUAUCUCAUCCUUCUGUGGUAUGAUCUGAUGGGUCCUGUUUCAUUAAACUCAAAGUAAUAUUGUCUAAAAUAGAUAAAAAUGGUGAUAACUCUGCUUUUUUGUCUUUUUACUUUUGGACCACAUUUUAUGUCUUUUGCUGCACACUCCUCGCAAAUUACUGUAUGUCCUUGUUGUACAAAUGCCUGGAAAUAAGCCCUGUUUUAAAUUUACCACAUGCUUUUUCUUGCCCUUGUAAAUAAACCUUUGAUGUUUGUUCCUCUAAAUCUGCUCAUCUUUUCAUUAAUUGGUCUGGCAUAGUCCUUACUGAGUGUUAGCCUGGGAUGUUCUAGCCCACCAAUUGGCUCAACAAAGUAAGCCAUUAUGUACUUGGCAGCUCGGCUUGACUGAACCUGAUUAAAAAAAAAAAAAUUUACGUACCAAGGGUGCGAGCCCUCCUUGAUAUUGUCAAGCUAACAGAA
rnacentral:lncRNA from 1 species